GAUGAAGAACGUAGCGAAAUGCGAUAAGUAAUGUGAAUUGCAGAAUUCAGUGAAUCAUCGAAUCUUUGAACGCACCUUGCGCCCUUUGGCUAUUCUGAAGGGCAUGCCUGUUUGAGUAUCAUGAACACCUCAACUCUCACGGUUCGCCGUGAUGAGCUUGGACUUUGGGGGUAUUACCGGCCCACCGCCGGCUCCUCUCAAAUGAAUCAGCUUGCCAGUGUCUGGUGGCAUCACAGGUGUGAUAACUAUCUACGCUUGUGGUUUUCCGCCAGGUAACCUCCAGCGAUGGAGGUUCGCUGGAGCUCACAAAUGUCUCUCCUCAGCGAAGACAGCUCUUGAACGUUUGAUCUCAAAUCAGGUAGGACUACCCGCUGAACUUAAGCAUAUCAAUAAGCGGAGGA
rnacentral:misc_RNA from 1 species